GACGAACGCUGGCGGCGUGCUUAACACAUGCAAGUCGAGCGGUAAGGCCCUUUCGGGGGUACACGAGCGGCGAACGGGUGAGUAACACGUGGGUGACCUGCCUUUAGCUCUGGGAUAAGCCUGGGAAACUGGGUCUAAUACCGGAUAUGACCCUAUGGCGCAUGUUGUGGGGUGGAAAGCCUUGUGCGGCUAGGGAUGGGCCCGCGGCCUAUCAGCUUGUUGGUGGGGUGAUGGCCUACCAAGGCGACGACGGGUAGCCGGCCUGAGAGGGCGACCGGCCACACUGGGACUGAGACACGGCCCAGACUCCUACGGGAGGCAGCAGUGGGGAAUCUUGCGCAAUGGGCGAAAGCCUGACGCAGCGACG
rnacentral:rRNA from 1 species